UCUAUGAAAUAGCUCAGUCGGAAGAGCAGGAGUUUCUGAAUCUCAGGGUUGUGGGUUCGAGUCCCGCGUUGGGCAGAA